AAACCUCUGGUGCCUUCCACAAACUCAGCCUGCCUUUGGAAAUCCAGUUUUACUGACGGACAAGCUCAGCCGUCUGGAUGGUCGGGGGCCACGCCCUUCUGCAACGGCAGAAAGAAAUGGCAGCAACUGGGCCAGCUUGGCAGAAAAGCCCAAAAUAUUAAUCACCACGUUCUUGAUCAACACAUGUUCUACUUUCUUUUUUUUUUUUUUUUCCUCUCUUUUUCUUUCUUUUUUUGCUCACACCUCAAGGCUCACAGCAUCUUUGGUCUCUGACCAAGGAUUGAAACUGGACCCAGAAUUAACAGCAUGGAAUCCUAACCACUGGACCACCAGAUGGGGGGAGGGAUGUCUUUGUAUUUUUUUUUUUAAUUUUUGAAAAUGUUAUUUAUUGAUUGGACCAUGCUGGGUCUUCAUCACUGCUCGAGGAGUUUUCUCCAGUGGCAGCGAGCAGGGGCUUCUCUCUAGCUGUGGUCUGAGGGCUCUCUCUGCAGUGGUCUGUCUUCUUGCCCAGCACGGGCUCCAAGCUUCUGCAGCUGCAGCUCGUGGCCUCAAGAGCACCAGCUCAGUUACUUGCUGCUCUGCGGCACCUGGGAUCUUCCCAGUCUAGAGAUCGAACCUGCGUCUCCCUCUCCAGCAGGUGGAUUCUUUACUACUGGGCCACCGGAAAAGCCCUUACAUUCUUUUUCUCUUGAGUCACAUCAGGCCUCAGACACAAAAGGCAGAAACCCCAAACCAACUGGUUUAUUUUUUCCUGGUCAAGUUGAACGAGAGUUCCAACCAGGACGUACCCACUCCAGCCUACCUCCUGCAGUCUGGCCCCAAGGACAUUGCUCGGACAGGCUUGCCAGGAAAUAGGAGGAAAGAGAGGCCAUGUUACGUCUGGAACACUCUUGGAGCUGGCUGGCCCUCGCAGUCGCUGCGCUUCUGGGUCCGAAACCCUCGGCCUGCGGCCCUCCACCUGGUCCCCGGCCAAACAUCCUCCUUCUGAUGGCGGACGAUCUCGGCAUUGGAGACGUCGGUUGCUACGGCAACAGCACCCUCAGGACUCCAAACAUCGACCGCCUUGCGGCGGAUGGCGUGAGGCUCACCCAGCAUCUGGCCGCUGCCCCUGUGUGCACGCCAAGUAGAGCGGCGUUUUUAACGGGCAGAUACCCCCUCCGAUCAGGUAUGGUUUCCAGUCAAGGCCUCCGUGUUCUUCAGUGGACAGCGGUGUCUGGAGGACUUCCGCCCAGUGAAAUAACUUUUGCAAAAAUACUGAAAGCUAAAGGCUAUACCACCGGACUCGUAGGAAAAUGGCAUUUGGGUCUCAGCUGUGCGUCUCCCGACGAUCACUGCCACCAUCCGCUCAAUCACGGCUUCGACCAUUUCUACGGAAUGCCAUUCAGCAUGAUGGCGGACUGCGAGCGCUGGGGACUAUCCGAGAAGCGUGCGGUCCUGGAGCGUCGCCUCGACGUCUGCUCCCAGCUCGUGGCCCUGGCCACCCUCACACUCACAAUCGGGAAACUCACCCGCCUGAUACUGGCCGCCUCCUGGACGCUGGUCAUCUGGUCGACUGUCGUGUGCCUCCUGCUCUUCGCCACUUCCUGUUUGGUGGGCGCCCUGAUCGAGCACGCGGACUGCUUUCUGAUGCGGAAUCAUUCCAUCGCACAGCAGCCCAUGCGCUCUCAGAAGACGAUGCCGCUCAUACUCCGGGAGGUCUCAUCCUUCAUCAAAAGGACACCGAACAUCGACCGGCUGGCGGAGGAAGGCGUGAGGCUCACCCAGCACCUGGCGGCCGCCCCCCUGUGCACCCCAAGCAGGGCCGCCUUCCUCACGGGGAGACACGCCUUCAGAUCAGGCAUGGACGCCACGGAUGGCUACCGGGCCCUGCAGUGGAACGCGGGUUCGGGGGGACUCCCGCAGAAUGAAACCACGUUUGCGAGGAUCCUUCAGCGGCAGGGGUACACCACGGGCCUCAUCGGAAAAUGGCAUCAGGGUAUAAACUGUGCCUCGCGCAACGACCACUGCCAUCACCCUCUGCACCACGGCUUUGACUAUUUCUACGGCAUGCCCUUCACGCUGGUCAACGACUGCCACCCAGACAGGCCCCCGGCGCUGGAUGCGGGCUUGAGGGCCAAGCUGUGGCUUUCCACCCAGAUCAUGGCCCUGGGCGUGCUGACCGUCGUGGCCGGCAAAGCCUGCAGGCUGAUCUCCGUUUCCUGGAGACUAGUCUUGAGUGUGGCCACCCUGGUCCUGCUCUUUUUCACGUCCUGGUACGCCAGCUUUGGCUUCGUCCGCCGCUGGAACUGCAUCCUGAUGAGAAACCAUGAAGUCACUGAGCAGCCCAUGGCUUUGGAAAGAGCUGCGAGCCUCGUGCUCAAGGAGGCUGUCUCCUUUCUUGCAAGAAAUAAGCACGGUCCUUUCCUGCUCUUUGUGUCUCUGCUGCAUGUCCAUGUCCCCCUGGUGACCACAGAAAGGUUCCUUGGGAAAAGUCAGCACGGCUUGUACGGCGACAACGUGGAGGAGAUGGACUGGCUCGUGGGGGAGAUUCUGAACGCCGUUGAAACGCACGGCCUGAAAAACACGACUUUCACGUACUUCACCUCUGAUCAUGGGGGACACUUGGAGGCGAGAGACGGACACGUCCAACUGGGCGGGUGGAAUGGAAUUUACAGAGGCGGCAAAGGCAUGGCCGGCUGGGAAGGCGGGAUCCGGGUCCCAGGGAUAUUCCGGUGGCCUGGGGUCCUGCCGGCCGGCCGCGUGAUCCAUGAGCCCACCAGCCUGAUGGACGUCUUCCCCACUGUGGUCCAGCUGGCAGGCGGCCAGGUGCCCCAGGACAGGGUCAUUGACGGCCGGAGCCUGCUGCCCCUGCUGAGGGGAGAUGCUGAGCACUCGGCACACGAGUUCCUGUUUCAUUACUGCGGGCAGUAUCUCCACGCCGCCCGCUGGCACGACAAGGACAGCGGAAGGCUCUGGAAGGUCCAUUACACCACGCCCCGCUUCCACCCCGAGGGCGCAGGGGCCUGCCACAGCCGCAGCGUGUGCCCCUGCUCGGGAGCCGGCGUGACCCACCACGACCCUCCCCUGCUCUUCGACCUUUCCGAGGACCCGUCCGAGGCCCGGCCCCUGUCGCCCGACGCCGGGCCCCUGUACCACGAGGCGGUGGCCCGCGUGGGCCGGGCGGUCCGGGAGCACCGCCGGUCGCUGCGCCCGGCGCCUGAGCAGCUGUCCUUCUGGAACGUGGUCUGGAAGCCGUGGCUGCAGCCCUGCUGCGGGCCGUUCCCAUUCUGCGCAUGCUCCCGGGACGCGGACCCCAGGGAGACCUGACCUCGCCGCUCCCCAAGUUACAGCAAGGGGUGGGCGAGCAGGCAGGGAGAACGGGACCCUUGUGUGCUGUCGGGAAUGGAGAGCUGCAGCGGCCGCUGGGGGCAACGGGGUGGACGGUCCUCCAGCCACCAAAAAAUGGAACUACCCUAGGAUGCAGCUAGGCCAGCCCUGCGUGUGUGUCUGUCACUCAGCCAUGUCUGAAGGAGUGUUUCGGGCCUGGAAAAGAAAACAACAGUUUCAAAGGUCCUUGCUGAAUCAUCUAACUUCGGAGAAAACAGAACUUUAGGUCCCACCCUGAUGCUCCAGGCCGGUUGCAUCUAUCUGGGACUUAUCACCCCUGUCCAGAAAUCUUCCACCCCCUACACCUGCCCAGAAGACUUAUCACCUCCUGUCCGGAAACCUUGCACCCCCUACACCUGCCCAGAAGACUUAUCACCCCCUGCCCAACUACAAAUGCCAUCUCAACUAAAGAAUACCCAAAACAUCCCCCCUGAUUAACGUUUCCUUAUCGCUUCCAUAAACCUCCCUAUAAAUACGGAGCCUCCCUGAUCCCUCUCUGUGCUCAGCCUGAUCUUAAGGCCAACCGUCGCCCCUCCUUGCCUGAAUAAAGGUAACCUACUUCUAUUGAGAUCGUCUUUC
rnacentral:lncRNA from 1 species